CGCAGUGUGAGCACACACUAUACCCUAUGCACAAACCGGCUUAUACUUUCAUAAAAGUUCAGCAUCGCCGAAAAGCAGGACUCUGGACUCUCUUAACAUAAGCUGAGCCCCCUCUUAAGAUUUACUAAAUGAUCGGGUCAUGAACAUGCCUGCAAAGUGUCAACACACUGACGCGUUUUGGAAUGUGCAUACAAAAUUUCUAUUACGAUUAUGAUGUUUUCGGGUAAGUUUGCAUACUUUCAUGGUUAAAGGCUUUUUUGCCUUCAUUUAGAUAGGACAGCAUGAGGACAGAGGAAAUCAGUGGAGAGGAGACAGGGGAAUUGGACCUAGAAAGGACCUUGAGUCUGGACUCUAAUUUGGGUCACCUGAAGUGCAAGCGCACUGUAUGUCGGAGCACAUGCCCACGUGGCUAUGGCUCUGACAUAAAAACAAUUUUUUAUUUUUUUAAUGUAUUUUGCUAUACAGUACCA